UGCCACACAAAAGUAACAAUGUUUUGUCAAUUUGUUGAAUCUUCCAUCAAAUAAUGUCAGUAAUUGAAACAUUUACUUUAUUGAGUAACACGGAACUGCUUAACUUUAUUGACCUCAUAUUUACUGGAUUAAAUGAUGAAAAGCCCAGCUUUCCGAAUUUUCAAUCUAAAGACGUUUGUAAGCUUUAAGCUUUGCACAAAAAAAAAAGCGAAUUUUUUAGGCGUUUCAAAAACGGUUACAACAAGUUCAACAUUUUUCGAAUUCAAAUAAGCUGACAACAAUUUUAGUAAAUGAAGACGAAAAUCAAUUUGAAAUUGGAUUGACCU